rnacentral:rRNA from 1 species
GACGAACGCUGGCGGCGCGCUUAACACAUGCAAGUCGAACGGAAAGGCCUGCUUUCCCUUGUGGAUUGCGGGUACUCGAGUGGCGAACGGGUGAGUAACACGUGGGUGAUCUGCCCCCAACUUGGGUAUAAGCCUGGGAAACUGGGUCUAAUUCCCGAUAGGACUGCAGGGUGGUGCCUGUGGUGGAAAACGAUUUUCUAGUGGUUGGGGAUGAGCUCGCGGCCUAUCAGCUUGUUGGUGGGGUAAUGGCCUACCAAGGCGGCGACGGGUAGCCGGCCUGGGGGGGGGGGACGGCAAAUUUGGGAUGGGGAUCCGGCCAGAAUCCUUCGGGGGGCAGGCGUGGGGGAUAUUGGACCAUGGGGGGGAGGCCGAUGGAGCGGCGCCGGGUGGGGGAUGACGGCCUUCGGGUUGUAAACUCCUUUCGACCGCGAGGAAGCCACCUGGUUGGAAGGGUGGUGACGGUAGUGGUAGAAGAAGCACCGGCUAACUACGUG